GAGUUUGAUCGUGGCUCAGAUUGAACGCUGGCGGCAGGCCUAACACAUGCAAGUCGAGCGGAUGACGGAGCUUGCUCCUUGAUUCAGCGGCGGACGGGUGAGUAAUGCCUAGGAAUCUGCCUGGUAGUGGGGGACAACGGUUUCGAAAGGACGCUAAUACCGCUAUACGUCCUACGGGAGAAAGCAGGGGACCUUCGGGCCUUUGCGCUAUCAGAUGAGCCCUAGGUCGGAUUAGCUAGUUGGUGGGGUAAUGGACUCACCAAGGCGACGAUCCGUAACUGGUCUGGAGAGGAUGAUCA
rnacentral:rRNA from 1 species